AGCGAACGCUGGCGGCGUGCCUAACACAUGCAAGUCGAACGUGAAAAGGGAAACCUGAGUACAGUGGCGUACGGGUGAGUAACGCGUAGGUAAUCUACCCCAGAAUCUGGAAUAACCUGCCGAAAGGCGGGCUAAUACUGGAUAGAGCGAGGGAACUCGUAAGAGAGUUUUUCGGGAAAGGGAGCCCGCAAGGGCCUUCGUUCUGGGACGAGCCUGCGUCUCAUUAGCUAGUUGGUAAGGUAACGGCUUACCAAGGCGAUGAUGAGUAGCUGGUCUGAGAGGAUGAUCAGCCACACUGGAACUGAAACACGGUCCAGACUCCUACGGGAGGCAGCAGUGGGGAAUCUUGCGCAAUGGACGAAAGUCUGACGCAUCCACGCCGCGUGAGUGAAGAAGGCCUUCGGGUUGUAAAGCUCUGUCGGAUGGGACGAACAUCUUCAUAGUGAAUAGCUAUGAGGACUGACGGUACCAGCAAAGGAAGCACCGGCUAACUCCGUG
rnacentral:rRNA from 1 species